rnacentral:rRNA from 1 species
UACGUAGGAGGCAAGCGUUGUUCGGAAUGACUGGGCGUAAAGCGCGCGUAGGCGGAUCAGGAAGUUGGGGGUGAAAUCCCGGGGCUCAACCCCGGAAUGGCCUUCAAGACUCCUGGUCUUGAGUUCGAGAGAGGUGAGUGGAAUUCCGAGUGUAGAGGUGAAAUUCGUAGAUAUUCGGAGGAACACCAGUGGCGAAGGCGGCUCACUGGGCUCGACGACUGACGCUGAGGUCGCGAAAGCGUGGGGAGCAAACAGG